AUUGAACGCUGGCGGCAGGCCUAACACAUGCAAGUCGAACGGCAGCGGGGGAUAGCUUGCUAUCCUGCCGGCGAGUGGCGGACGGGUGAGUAAUGCAUGGGGAGCUGCCCAGUCGAGGGGGAUAACAACUGGAAACGGUUGCCAAUACCGCAUACGCCCUUUGGGGGAAAGGUGGGGAACUUCGGUCCUACCGCGAUUGGAUGCGCCCAUGUGGGAUUAGCUAGUUGGUGAGGUAACGGCUCACCAAGGCGACGAGCUCUAGCUGGUCUGGGAGGAUGACCGGCCACCAGGGAACUGAGACACGGCCCAGACUCCUACGGGAGGCAGCAGUGGGGAAUAUUGCACAAUGGGGGAAACCCUGAUGCAGCCAUGCCGCGUGUGUGAAGAAGGCCUUCGGGUUGUAAAGCACUUUCAGUCAGGAGGAAGGGGUGAUGGCUAAUAUCCAUCAUCAUUGACGUUACUGACAGAAGAAGCACCGGCUAACUCCGUGCCAGCCGCCGCCGUAA
rnacentral:rRNA from 1 species